UUAGGAGUGGGGACAAAGACUUGUACACAGAGGCAAAAUACAAGUUUAUUAAGGCGGUGAGAGAUGCUAAACGACUGUACUCUGAGAAACUCCAACAACAGUUCUCAGCAAGUGACUCUGCUUCGGUCUGGAGAGGCCUCAAACACCUCACCAACUACAAGCCAAAAACCCCCCACUCCAUGAAUGACCUCCGCCUGGCAGACGAGCUGAACGAGUUCGACUGCAGUUUCAAAAGACACUCUGUGUGUUUACAUGAUGGUAUAAUUGGAAUCUUUGCUUAGUCGGACUAUGCUCUCUUUCGGGGGGAGGUGCUAUUAUCCCAAUAUACAUGGCAGUGAAUAAAUCGAAUUAUUGGCCGAAAGCAUGUCAUAUCCGAUACGAUAGGUGGCGAUGUUUUCAUUACAGCUAGUUGUGAUACAGCCAUUUCCGGUUGACCGCUUCACCACUACCAACAACAACAACAACAACAACAACAACAUCAACAUUGUGAGAAAGAUGGCGAGCGGAGAGCAAGGUGAAGCUACAUCCCUCUACUAUCUGCAUGAUGUUAAUAGGAGCACAGCGAAUGCGAAUGGCGCUAUUGGCUGAUUUGAUAACGGAGAGAAGACGCCGUCGGGAUCUCAAGCAUGCGCAAAGACGCAAAGUCCAGUUCCUCAUCUGAUUCACCGUUACAUGCCGCAAUAGUCGAACUAUCACCUGGAUCGGAUCGAGUUAUCCAGGGGUGUCAGUCGGAUCGUAGUCGGACCGGACAUAGUCGGACAAAAGUGUUUACAUGAAACGGAUCAUUUGAUUUCAGUCCGACUAAGCGAGUUAUUCGAAUCCAUGUAACCACGCUGAAUGUCCUGAUCCCAUCCCCCACAGCUCCACCAACCUGCUGCAGUCCCCCACCCCUCCCUCCCCCAGCCCAUCAGGGGCUCACGCCUCUUCAUCUAUAUCACCUUCCCCUUCCCUCAGCCUCUCGGACCAUCAGCACCGGUUCCCCCCAAGGAUGCGUUCUUUCCCCUCUGCUCUUCUCCCUGUACACCAACAGCUGCACCUCCAGUCACCAGUCCGUCAAGCUCCUGAAGUUUGCGGAUGACACCACCCUCAUUGGACUGAUCUCUGGUGGGGACGAGUCCGCCUACAGGUGGAGUCUGACCAUCUGGUGUCGUGGUGCAGCCAGAACAACCUGGAGCUCAACGCUUUAAAGACAGUGGAGAUGGUUGUGGAUUUCCGGCGGAACAGAGUCCCACCCUCCCCCAUCACCCUGUGUGACUCCCCCGUCACUAUUGUGGAUUCCUUUCGUUUCCUGGGCUACAUCAUCACCCAGGACCUCAAGUGGCAGCUGAACAUCAGCUCCAUCACCAAGAAGGCUCAGCAGAGUGAAUAUGGAUUGGUGAUGUCAGUGAGGUAUUUCACAUUCAUUUGUGGUGUGAAAACAUGGCAGGUCUCCCUGCUCGAUGUCGCACCGUCUCAUUCAUUCACUUGGCUCAUGACGUCCACAUGAAUGUUCGUCUUUGGCUAAAAAGUGCCCUAAAUCGGUUGGGAAAGCUCGCAUUGCCUGAAACUGCUCAUUACCGGCGUUUCCGCGCUGUUUUUAGUCUGAAAUGACAACCAACGGUCGCACAAAGUCCAGGUGUUAUUUAGAUCACCGCACUGAUAUGAACGCUCAGGUCGAUGUAAACAGGUAACAUUACAUUAUGGCUCAAUUCAGUGCACCUCGUGACUCACUCUCCACCAAUCAGAGCGCUUGAUUUCACCCGUAUUAUAAAAGAAUAUACGAUACGGGACAUGAAACAUAACCAGUAGUCCAAGUGCAAGCAGCCAGUUGAUGGUGAAUUUAUGCUACUUUGUUGAAUUCAUAUGUUUGUGAAUGUGACUUUGAAAGAGUCAGAGCCUCCAGCCACCAACCUCACCGCACGUCACUGCCAGCAGCUCUGUGAAAGGUCCAAUGUCUAGUUUCAGAAGAUCUAAGGAGACUUCUACAGGUCAGAGGACCGUCUGAAGAGCUUUGCAGUACUUUCAUUACAAUUUGUAUUUUCGAUGCAGAGGUCUGCAGACGUUGUUUUUCUGACCCACAGUAAGAAGUAAAAAC
ensembl:lncRNA